GAGAAAGUUACUAAGAGCGCAUGGGGGAUGCCCUGGCUCUCAGAGGCGAAGAAGGACGUGAUAAGCUGCGAUAAGCUCCGGGGAGGUGCAAAUAACCUUUGAUCCGGGGAUUUCCGAAUGGGACAACCCGACACGAGCGAUCGUGUCACCCUCUUACGAGGGGGCGAACGCGGGGAACUGAAACAUCUAAGUACCCGCAGGAAGAGAAAAUAACAAUGAUUCCGCAAGUAGUGGCGAGCGAACGCGGAAGAGCCCAAACCGGUAAUGUUACGGCAUGACCGGGGUUGUAGGACCUCGACAUCGUGGAAACCUGUGAACCGGAACGGUCUGGGAAGGCCGUCCGCAGAGGGUGAAAGGCCCGUACGGGCAAGCAGGUGGCACGUAGAGGUAUCCUGAGUAGGGCGGGACCGGAGGAAUCCUGUCUGAAGCAGGCGGCACCAUCCGCCAAGGCUAAAUACUCCUGAGAGACCGAUAGCGAACAAGUACUGUGAAGGAAAGGUGAAAAGAACCCCGAACAGGGGAGUGAAAGAGAACCUGAAACCGUGCGCUUACAAGCGGUCGGAGCCACUACGUGUGGUGACGGCGUGCCUUUUGCAUAAUGAGCCUACGAGUUGCCGUGCAUGGCAAGGUUAAGCGUUUGAGACGCGGAACCGAAGCGAAAGCGAGUCUGAAGAGGGCGUUGAGUCAUGUAAGGCAGACGCGAAACUUAGUGAUCUACAUGCGUCCAGGCUGAAGUUGCGCUAAACCGCAAUGGAGGGCCGAACCAGUAAACGUUGAAAAGUUUUUGGAUGAGGUGCGUGUAGGAGUGAAAGGCCAAUCAAACUGAGAGAUAGCUCGUACUCUCCGAAAUGCCUUUAGGGGCAGCCUCAUGUUAGAUAUGCCAGAGGUAAAGCUACUGAUUGGAUGCGGGGGUUUCACCGCCUACCAAAUCCUGACAAACUCUGAAUGCUGGCAUAUUCAUUCAUGGGAGUGAGGCUUCGGGUGCUAACGUCCGGGGCCGAGAGGGGAACAACCCAGACCAUCGGUUAAGGUCCCAGAAUCCGCGUUAAGUUGAGAAAAACGGCGUCCCGUUGCACAGACAGCUAGGAUGUUGGCUUGGAAGCAGCCAUUCAUUCAAAGAGUGCGUAACAGCUCACUAGUAGAGUGACGGGGCAUGGAUAAUAAUCGGGCAUGAAACGCGGUACCGAAACUGUGGGAUAGCGAUAUCGGUAGGAGAGCAUUCCAAGCGGCGGCGAAGGUGAACCGUGAGGUUUGCUGGAGCGCUUGGAAGAGCAAAUGUAGGCAUAAGUAACGACAAGGCGGGCGAGAAACCCGCCCACCGAAAGAUCAAGGUUUCCCGGCCAACGUUAAUCGGACCGGGGUAAGUCGGGGCCUAACGGGGAGCCAGGCGAACUGGCGCACCGGAAUGGACACGCGGUUAAUAUUCCGCGACCGGCUGCAGGAACGAAGUGGAGACGCAGAAGUGACAGGCGCGCGGGCUGACGGAAUAGCCCGUUGAAGGGUGUAGGUCUAUCCAGGGAGGCAAAUCCCCCUGGUUGCCGAACCUGAUAGUACCGCAAGGCUUCGGCUGCGCGGAUAGCCGCCGUAACCAGGCUGCCGAGAAAACCCGCUAAGUACAUGCUGCAGCUGCCCGUACUGUAAACCGACACAGGUGAUCGAGAAGAGAAUUCUAAGGUGCUCGAGUGAUUCAUGGCUAAGGAACUAGGCAAAAUUGCCCUGUAACUUCGGGAGAAAGGGCCCCGCGCGAGCGGGCGCAGAGAAUCGGCCCAGGCGACUGUUUACCAAAAACACAUGGCUUUGCGAAAUGGAUAACAUGAAGUAUAAGGCCUGACACCUGCCCAGUGCCGGAAGGUUAAGAGGAGAUGUCAUCGCAAGAGAAGCAUUGAAUUGAAGCCCCGGUAAACGGCGGCCGUAACUAUAACGGUCCUAAGGUAGCGAAAUUCCUUGUCGGGUAAGUUCCGACCUGCACGAAUGGUGUAACGAUCUGGGCACUGUCUCAGCCAUGAGCUCGGUGAAAUUGUAGUGCCGGUGAAGAUGCCGGCAACCCGCACCUGGACGGAAAGACCCCAUGAACCUUCACUGUAUUUUGACAUUGGUUUUAGGGCUGGCAUGUGUAGGAUAGGUGGGAGGCUAUGAGCCGGCGACGCCAGUCGUCGGGGAGCCGCCGUUGAAAUACCACCCUUGCCCGUUUUGAGAUCUAACCUCGUCCCGUCAUCCGGGACAGGGACCGUGUCUGAUGGUCAGUUUGACUGGGGCGGUCGCCUCCCAAAAGGUAACGGAGGCAUCCAAAGGUUCCCUCAGCGCGGUCGGAAAUCGCGCGCAGAGCACAAAGGCAUAAGGGAGCUUGACUGCGAGACGGACACGUCGAGCAGGUACGAAAGUAGGGCUUAGUGAUCCCGCGGUACAGCGUGGAAAGGCCGUUGCUCAAUGGAUAAAAGGUACUCUGGGGAUAACAGGCUGAUCUCCCCCAAGCGUUCAUAGCGACGGGGAGGUUUGGCACCUCGAUGUCGGCUCGUCGCAUCCUGGGGCUGGAGAAGGUCCCAAGGGUUUGGCUGUUCGCCAAUUAAAGCGGCACGCGAGCUGGGUUCAAAACGUCGUGAGACAGUUUGGUCCCUAUCCGGUGUGGGCGUGGAAGCUUGAGAGGACCUGACUCUAGUACGAGAGGACCGAGUUGGACGAACCUCCGGUGAACGGGUUGUGGCGCCAGCCGCACUGCCCGGUAGCUGCGUUCGGAUGAGAUAAGCGCUGAAAGCAUCUAAGUGCGAAACUCACCUCAAGAUGAGGCUUCAUUCAAGGGCCGUCAUAGACGAUGACGUUGAUAGGCCGCAGGUGUAAAGUCGGCAACGGCAAAGCCGAGCGGUACUAAUAACCCGAAACUUUCCGGA
rnacentral:rRNA from 1 species